CCUACGGGAGGCAGCAGUGGGGAAUUUUGGACAAUGGGCGAAAGCCUGAUCCAGCAAUGCCGCGUGAGUGAAGAAGGCCUUCGGGUUGUAAAGCUCUUUUGUCAGGGAAGAAACGGUGUGGGCUAAUAUCCUGCACUAAUGACGGUACCUGAAGAAUAAGCACCGGCUAACUACGUGCCAGCAGCCGCGGUAAUACGUAGGGUGCAAGCGUUAAUCGGAAUUACUGGGCGUAAGGCGUGCGCAGGCGGUUUUGUAAGUCUGUCGUGAAAUCCCCGGGCUCAACCUGGGAAUUGCGAUGGAGACUGCAAGGCUAGAAUCUGGCAGAGGGGGGUAGAAUUCCACGUGUAGCAGUGAAAUGCGUAGAGAUGUGGAGGAACACCGAUGGCGAAGGCAGCCCCCUGGGUCAAGAUUGACGCUCAUGCACGAAAGCGUGGGGAGCAAACAGGAUUAGAUACCCUGGUAGUCCACGCCCUAAACGAUGUCUACUAGUUGUCGGGUUUUAAUUAACUUGGUAACGCAGCUAACGCGUGAAGUAGACCGCCUGGGGAUACGGUCGCAAGAUUAAAACUCAAAUGAAUUGACGG
rnacentral:rRNA from 1 species